rnacentral:lncRNA from 10 species
GCCAUGAGGAGGAUGCACCCAUGUCCUCACGCCUGUGGCUGGGUCUCCUCCUCAUCUUGUGGCAGCGCCAGACAUUCCAGAACAUGGGUUCAGGAAACUUGGACUGGGUCUGAACCAGCAGGAAGCAUGCCAAGAAACCUCCUCCCACCGUCCUGCUCUUCUCUCCCUCCCUCCCUCUUCCCUCCCUCCCCCGUCCCUCACUCUUCCCCUUCUCCCCCGUCCCCCUUUUCCUCUUUCUCUCUGAUCACCAGUCUUCUGAGUUAUCACAACCAAGUGAGACUGACUCAAGCUAUUAUUGAAAAUAUGGCCACAUCGAAUGUUUUUCUGAUAAAAAGAAGAACAUAAGUAAUUGGGGCAGGGGGUGAGGUGAGGACCUGGCGGAUGCCUUGGAGGCAACACGAGGGUGGAUUUGCUUGGGCAGAGCUAAGCCAGUGAGGCCAUCUCCACUCAGGCCCGAUGGAGUGGAGGGCACUGCCUUGAUCCAGUGGAGCCCGUGGACUGUGCCUUUUCCCAGACCUGAUGCCUCUCCCACCCCUGCCCCUGUUGCCCCAGAGCCAGGUGAGGGCAGAUGGCCCAGGGCCACCUCAGACCCCCACUGGGAGAGCAGCCAAAGCCAUGCCCAGUACCAGUAGCAGUGCCUCAUGUUCUGAAGAUCUGCCUUGUGGAUAAAAAUGCCUCAUCCAUUCUUACCGCUAUGGAAUAUUCACUUAUAGACAUUUAUCACUUUUUCCAGGUUAUAGUUUUGUGAAAUAAAAUGUUUAUUAUUUUUUGUUAUGAAAGUGCU